UCUGUUCAGUUGCAGGACUGCGAGCUGCAGCAGUUGUUUGUGUAGUAACGGUGACGAAAAGAAAAAACGAUGGCGUAAGUACAACAAAAUUAGCGCUGAAUAUGGAGAGCAUGAUAAGACUUCACAACAUGUAGUGUACCGAAUGCCUUUAUUUUUUAAGUGGUAGCCGGAAAUCAUACUGCUACAGAGGCAAGUAGUGGCAGUCUAAAAUUGCACGCUACGUCUACGCUUGUUUUGUUUACAUCUUUUUUUCCAUCUACGCCGCUGAAACGGACACCAUCGACCAUUUCUUGCGGCACCCAAAGUCAAGUCUGACCUCACACUCCGGUGAAGAAAAUCCACCCGAUUUACAGCUGGAUCCAGAUAUGAGUGAGUUGACAGACUUUCAACGAGGCCAAAUAGUUGGCUCUCAACUGGGAGGCAUGUCGGUGCGUGACACGGCCAAACUGUGCGACGUGUCCAGUCGGACGGUCAUCAAAGUGAUGAGCGUAUACAACAAUUACGGACACACCCCACUGGUCCGGAAGAGCCCAAAA